GAGUUUGAUCCUGGCUCAGAUUGAACGCUGGCGGCAGGCCUAACACAUGCAAGUCGAGCGGAAACGAGUUAACUGAACCUUCGGGGAACGUUAACGGCGUCGAGCGGCGGACGGGUGAGUAAUGCCUGGGAAAUUGCCCUGAUGUGGGGGAUAACCAUUGGAAACGAUGGCUAAUACCGCAUAAUAGCUUCGGCUCAAAGAGGGGGACCUUCGGGCCUCUCGCGUCAGGAUAUGCCCAGGUGGGAUUAGCUAGUUGGUGAGGUAAUGGCUCACCAAGGCGACGAUCCCUAGCUGGUCUGAGAGGAUGAUCAGCCACACUGGAACUGAGACACGGUCCAGACUCCUACGGGAGGCAGCAGUGGGGAAUAUUGCACAAUGGGCGCAAGCCUGAUGCAGCCAUGCCGCGUGUAUGAAGAAGGCCUUC
rnacentral:rRNA from 1 species